UUAUGCAAGAAAAAUAAGACAGAAAAAAAGAAGAGCAUUGUAAAGCUACAAACACCUCCUGGAGUUACAAUGGAAAGAAGAGUGUUCACAGGUCACUGUGGCUUUAUGCCUGACAAAGGGCAAAACAAAUUUUGACCAUUUUACUGUGGGUACAAGAACAUGCAUCAUGUGUUCGGGGAUGAGGGGGAGGGUUUCAAAAGCUUUUAUUACUGAGUAGUGGCUUCCCACCAUGAGUUAAUGCCUCUUUACAUGCAACCCUUGCAAAUAACUCUUCCUUGACAAACUUAAGGAGUAGUAGACCCACACAGACAGAGCCUGACUUGCAUCGAUGUCCAUGGGUCCUUGGGAAUCUGAUCUGAUGUCUCUCAGGACCUUGCCAAAUCAAUCACCUCUGGUGCUGUGUUCCUGCAUCCAGUGGAACUCUGCAUGGAGAUUGCCAGGGAUGCUGGCACAGAGGAAAGAUUUGCAUUCCCACUGCUUGCUCUUGCCACAACUAAAUAACUGAAACCCACAGUAGGGAGGGUGUCUGCCUGUGAUGCUCUGCCUCCUGCCACCUGAUCUCCCAGCCAUUCAGUCCUUCCCUCUGCUUUCCAGCCAGCAGCAGCUGAGAGCCAGCAAGCCCCAGCUGGAAAGGGAACAGCCUGGCCGAGACAGAGUUCAUCUCUUACAGAGGUGCUGCUCCAGGCUGUGGGAAGCUGGAGCUCUCUGCAUCCCGCCAGCCUCCUCCAAGGGGCUGGAGCACAGGGAGCCUGUCCCAGUGUGAGGGAACCUGUCACCUCAGGAGUGAAAGGCUUUAUCUUUCCUUGGCUACACCAACAGUACCACUGGAUGUCACUGUUGUUUCAUGAAAGACAAAAUCUUACUGUGAUCUUUUUAACAGAUAACGUUUGGUAAAUAAAUAUAUGUGUAUUUAUAUUCUCUUCCCCAUAACUUUUCUGCACAAGGAUUGCAACCUCCUGGCUCUCACUCACAUUUUCGAUGACUAUUUUACAGCAACUUUGUUCAUGGGUCCCUUUGUGGCACUCUAAGAUAUCUUUUCUGUAAAGGAUUUCUUUUUGCCAUGGUAGAUGUAAAGCAUGGCCAAGCUGCCACAAUAAAUUUCAAUUUUUUUUUUUGCUUCCA